GUGAAUCAUCGAAUUUUUGAACGCAAAUUGCACUCUCCUCGGAGAGUAUGCCUGUUUGAGGGUCAGCCUAUAAAAAAACGACGUCGUGGCUGUUGCAGGGUGAGGUGCGGCGGAAAUUGGGCCAUCUUAAAUCUUGGGGGUGUAAGAGGAUUAGAAUGUUAGUUUUGAUUACAUGAAGGGGAGUCUAAGAUUUAGUUCGGUACACGUUUAAGGUA
rnacentral:misc_RNA from 1 species